AGAGUUUGAUCCUGGCUCAGGAUGAACGCUGGCGGCGUGCUUAACACAUGCAAGUCGAACGAACCUUCGGGUUAGUGGCGGACGGGUGAGUAACGCGUGAGAAUCUGCCCUCAGGAGGGGGAUAACGGCUGGAAACGGCCGCUAAUACCCCAUAUGCCGAGAGGUGAAACGAGUUUUCGCCUGAGGAUGAGCUCGCGUCUGAUUAGCUAGUUGGUGGGGUAAGAGCCUACCAAGGCAUCGAUCAGUAGCUGGUCUGAGAGGAUGAUCAGCCACACUGGGACUGAGACACGGCCCAGACUCCUACGGGAGGCAGCAGUGGGGAAUUUUCCGCAAUGGGCGAAAGCCUGACGGAGCAACGCCGCGUGAGGGAUGAAGGCCUCUGGGCUGUAAACCUCUUUUAUCAAGGAAGAAGAUCUGACGGUACUUGAUGAAUAAGCCACGGCUAAUUCCGUGCCAGCAGCCGCGGUAAUACGGGAGUGGCAAGCGUUAUCCGGAAUUAUUGGGCGUAAAGCGUCCGCAGGCGGCCUGAUAAGUCUGUUGUCAAAGCGUGGAGCUCAACUCCAUUUCGGCAAUGGAAACUGUGAGGCUUGAGUGUGGUAGGGGCAGAGGGAAUUCCCGGUGUAGCGGUGAAAUGCGUAGAUAUCGGGAAGAACACCAGUGGCGAAGGCGCUCUGCUGGGCCAUAACUGACGCUCAUGGACGAAAGCCAGGGGAGCGAAAGGGAUUAGAUACCCCUGUAGUCCUGGCCGUAAACGAUGAACACUAGGUGUCGGGGGAAUCGACCCCCUCGGUGUCGUAGCCAACGCGUUAAGUGUUCCGCCUGGGGAGUACGCACGCAAGUGUGAAACUCAAAGGAAUUGACGGGGGCCCGCACAAGCGGUGGAGUAUGUGGUUUAAUUCGAUGCAACGCGAAGAACCUUACCAGGGUUUGACAUCCUGCGAAUCCCUUGGAAACGAGGGAGUGCCUUCGGGAGCGCAGAGACAGGUGGUGCAUGGCUGUCGUCAGCUCGUGUCGUGAGAUGUUGGGUUAAGUCCCGCAACGAGCGCAACCCACGUCUUUAGUUGCCAGCAUUGAGUUGGGCACUCUAGAGAGACCGCCGGUGAUAAACCGGAGGAAGGUGUGGAUGACGUCAAGUCAUCAUGCCCCUUACAUCCUGGGCUACACGCGUACUACAAUGCUACGGACAAAGGGCAGCAAACUCGCGAGAGCUAGCAAAUCCCAUAAACCGUGGCUCAGUUCAGAUCGUAGGCUGCAACUCGCCUACGUGAAGGAGGAAUCGCUAGUAAUCGCAGGUCAGCAUACUGCGGUGAAUACGUUCCCGGGCCUUGUACACACCGCCCGUCACACCAUGGAAGUUGGCCACGCCCGAAGCCGUUACUCCAACCCUUGUGGAGGAGGACGUCGAAGGUGGGGCUGAUGACUGGGGUGAAGUCGUAACAAGGUA
rnacentral:rRNA from 1 species